GAGGGAUGUGAUACAGAAGCAGACUGCUGGCACUAACCGAAGUAUCCCUUUGAAAAAAGUGCUGGCAGAUGUGAACUCAGUCAUAGG